UCUGACACAGGUGCUGCAUGGCUGUCGUCAGCUCGUGUCGUGAGAUGUUGGGUUAAGUCCCGUAACGAGCGCAACCCUUGCCUUUAGUUGCCAGCAGUUCGGCUGGGCACUCUAAAGGGACUGCCGGUGUUAAACCGGAGGAAGGUGGGGAUGACGUCAAGUCCUCAUGGCCUUUAUGACCAGGGCUACACACGUACUACAAUGGCCGAUACAAAGGGCAGCGACACUGCGAGGUGAAGCCAAUCCCGUAAAAUCGGUCUCAGUCCGGAUUGGAGUCUGCAACUCGACUCCAUGAAGUUGGAAUCGCUAGUAAUCGUGGAUCAGCAUGCCACGGUGAAUACGUUCCCGGGCCUU
rnacentral:rRNA from 1 species